GGCCCGGUGGCGAAGAGGUAACGCGGUUGUCUGCAAAACAACUAUGCACCGGUUCAAGUCCGGUCCGGGCCU
rnacentral:tRNA from 1 species